GACGAACGCUGGCGGCGUGCUUAACACAUGCAAGUCGAACGGAAAGGCCUCUUUCGGGGGGUACUCGAGUGGCGAACGGGUGAGUAACACGUGAGUAACCUGCCCUUGACGUUGGGAUAACUUCAGGAAACUGGGGCUAAUACCGGAUAGGAGCUCCUGCUGCAUGGUGGGGGUUGGAAAGUUUCGGCGGUUGGGGAUGGACUCGCGGCUUAUCAGCUUGUUGGUGGGGUAGUGGCUUACCAAGGCUUUGACGGGUAGCCGGCCUGAGAGGGUGACCGGCCACAUUGGGACUGAGAUACGGCCCAGACUCCUACGGGAGGCAGCAGUGGGGAAUAUUGCACAAUGGGUGGAAGCCUGAUGCAGCAACGCCGUGUGCGGGAUGACGGCCUUCGGGUUGUAAACCGCUUUCACUCAUGACGAAGCUUUGUGUGACGGUAGUGGGUAAAGAAGCACCGGCUAACUACGUG
rnacentral:rRNA from 1 species